rnacentral:rRNA from 1 species
UACGGGGGGGGCAAGCGUUGUUCGGAAUUACUGGGCGUAAAGGGCUCGUAGGUGGCCGACUAAGUCAGACGUGAAAUCCCUCAGCUUAACUGGGGAACUGCGUCUGAUACUGGAUGGCUUGAGUUUGGGAGAGGGAUGCGGAAUUCCAGGUGUAGCGGUGAAAAUGCGUAGAUAUCUGGAGGAACACCGGUGGCGAAGGCGGCAUCCUGGACCAACACUGACACUGAGGAG